CCUACGUGAGGCAGCAGUGAGGAAUAUUGGUCAAUGGGCGCGAGCCUGAACCAGCCAAGUAGCGUGAAGGAUGACUGCCCUACGGGUUGUAAACUUCUUUUAUAAAGGAAUAAAGUGAGGCACGUGUGCCUUUUUGUAUGUACUUUAUGAAUAAGGAUCGGCUAACUCCGUGCCAGCAGCCUCGGUAAUACGGAGGAUCCGAGCGUUAUCCGGAUUUAUUGGGUUUAAAGGGAGAGUAGAUGGGUUGUUAAGUCAGUUGUGAAAGUUUGCGGCUCAACCGUAAAAUUGCAAUUGAUACUGGCAGUCUUGAGUACAGUUGAGGUAGGCGGAAUUCGUGGUGUAGCGGUGAAAUGCUUAGAUAUCACGAAGAACUCCGAUUGCGAAGGCAGCUUACUAAACUGCCACUGACAUUGAUGCUCGAAAGUGUGGGUAUCAAACAGGAUUAGAUACCCCAGUAGUC
rnacentral:rRNA from 1 species